rnacentral:tRNA from 1 species
GGAGAGACAGCUCAGCAGGUAAGAGCACUGACUGCUUUCCAGAGGACCUGGGUUCAAUUCCCAGUACCCUCA